rnacentral:rRNA from 1 species
CCCCACCGUCACCCACCCAGGAGUGACCGCAUGGAUCGUAACUUAACAAACUUUACUUUCAUUGCGCCUCUAUGCUAAACAAGACCAUGACUCGCACACAUGUUAGACUCCUCUGUGACCCGUCCUGAAACACGGACCAAGGAGUCUAACAUGUGUGCGAGUCACUCGGUCUUGUUUAGGCCAGAGAGGCGCAAUGAAAGUAAAGUUUGUUAAGUUACGAUCCCCAUGCGGUCACUCCCUGGUGGGUGACGGUGGGGCGCAGUAACGGCCCGCCAAUUUCGCCUAUUGACGAUCUGGCGGAGUCGUAGCAUACACGUUGGUACCCGAAAGAUGGUGAACUAUGCCUGGGCAAGACGAAGCCAGAGGAAACUCUGGUGGAGGUCUGUAGCGAUUCUGACGUGCAAAUCGAUCGUCAGACCUGGGUAUAGGGGCGAAAGACUAAUCGAACCAUCUAGUAGCUGGUUCCCUCUGAAGUUUCCCUCAGGAUAGCAGACACGCGGUGAGAUUCAGUCUCAUCCGGUAAAGCUAAUGAUUAGAGGCAUUGGGGUCGAAACGACCUCAACCUAUUCUCAAACUUUAAAUGGGUGAGAAGUAUGACUUGUUUGAUUAAAGCCAUACUCUCGGAUGUAUGCGUGCCUAGUGGGCCAUUUUUGGUAAGCAGAACUGGCGCUGUGGGA